UGGGGGAUAUUGCACAAUGGGCGAAAGCCUGAUGCAGCGACGCCGCGUGGGGGAUGAAGGCCUUCGGGUUGUAAGCUUCUUUUGCUCUGAACAAGGUGCACCGUGGGGUGUGUUGAGUGUAGGGGUUGAUUAGCGCCGGCUAACUACGUGCCAGCAGCCGCGGUAAUACGUAGGGCGCGAGCGUUGUCCGGAAUUAUUGGGCGUAAAGGGCUUGUAGGUGGCUAGUUGCGUCUGUCGUGAAAGCUCAUGGCUUAACUGUGGGUUUGCGGUGGGUACGGGCUGGCUUGAGUGCAGUAGGGGAGGCUGGAAUUCCUGGUGUAGCGGUGGAAUGCGCAGAUAUCAGGAGGAAUACCGGUGGCGAAGGCGGGUCUCUGGGCUGUUACUGACACUGAGGAGCGAAAGCAUGGGGAGCGAACAGG
rnacentral:rRNA from 1 species